UAAAACUGGGGGGGGCGGGCAUCUGACUUCGGGGGACGAUAACGGCGUCGAGCGGCGGACGGGUGAGUAAUGCCUAGGAAAUUGCCCUGAUGUGGGGGAUAACCAUUGGAAACGAUGGCUAAUACCGCAUGAUGCCUACGGGCCAAAGAGGGGGACCUUCGGGCCUCUCGCGUCAGGAUAUGCCUAGGUGGGAUUAGCUAGUUGGUGAGGUAAGGGCUCACCAAGGCGACGAUCCCUAGCUGGUCUGAGAGGAUGAUCAGCCACACUGGAACUGAGACACGGUCCAGACUCCUACGGGAGGCAGCAGUGGGGAAUAUUGCACAAUGGGCGCAAGCCUGAUGCAGCCAUGCCGCGUGUGUGAAGAAGGCCUUCGGGUUGUAAAGCACUUUCAGUCGUGAGGAAGGUAGUGUAGUUAAUAGCUGCAUUAUUUGACGUUAGCGACAGAAGAAGCACCGGCUAACUCCGUGCCAGCAGCCGCGGUAA
rnacentral:rRNA from 1 species